UUUUUCUGCCACGCUUCAAAAGCGUGGCCAUAGAGAGAAACAGGGAUGUUUUAAAAGCGUGGCGACAGGGUUUCAUUAUGGCCACGCUUACAAAACGUGGCCAUAUCCUGGUACCACAUUUUUUUCCUGCCACGCUUCAAAAGCGUGGCCAUAGAGAGAAACAGGGACGUUUUAAAAGCGUGGCGACAAGGUUUCAUUAUGGCCACGCUUACAAAGCGUGGCCAAAAGCUUUUUAAAAAAAAAAAACCCUAAGACCCGGCCCCCAACCCGGUCCCCAACCCAAUUGACGCUCUUUCAACCCGGUCCCCAACCUUAAUCGAGCUACCCUGGAAAAGCUCACAUACCCGCCGUCACCAGCACCACCCUCGCUGUGCCGUUAGCCUUCGCUCCCUCUCCGCCUCAUCUCCUCGUCGCCGUUACCAGCAUCCUUACCGUCAGCGUCAGCGCCACCUUUUUUAACCGAUUCCUUCCAAAAGCGAAUACGACAAGGGACAUUGUGGGAAGAUGUCGGAGCUCAGAGGCGGCAACUGUUUUCCGCGUCUCUUGCUCGGUGUCAAUGUCGGUCUUGCCCUUGUUGAAGGAAUCGUUGCUUUCGUUGCAUUGUUUCAGCAUGGCACUCUCGGGGCACUUGUCCAAGAUUCUGUUAACAGCUUCCAUGAGACCAACUUCAACGGCCACGUACAACGCUAUUCAUAACAAGACUGUGACAAUGAUAUUGAUUCCCCUUGUCCAGUAGUGGUGUAUACUGAUUCCCCUUAUUUGUUGACGGAGAAUGUUAGACUAUGACAGUCCAUUAGAAGCUCUUGAGACAUUAAGCUCUUGUAUGCAAAAGGGUGCUGCACUGUAGUUCUUUGCCUUUACUUACUGCCUCUUUUUCUUCUUCUGUGCCGUCGUCUCCAUUACGUGCCAACGUCGUCGUCAUAAAAUCACUACCAAAAUCAUUACACCGCCGCAACUACCACCCCUUUCUCCGCGAGCCCAGAGCCACUACUAGACCCUAUUUUACUGUGCACCCACCCUCCGCCACUGUCGCUACCCCAGCACCACCACUAGGCCGUCACCGUGUUGCUCCGGCCAUUCACUCAUCAUCAUCAAUCUUUCCCUUCCCUUCCCCUGUUCCAAUUCUCUGCUUCCCAGUAACAACCACUAACAACACUGAAGCUAUUGAGAGAGAAGAAUAACAAGUUUGAAGAGGUUCCGCUAUUUCGACUUUGCUCCUUCGUCCCUGCUGGUGCCUUCGUCUCUGUCAUUCCCUACUCAGUCUUCUCUGCCAUUAGUCUUCUCUACCAUAGUAGUAGUAGCUUCAUCCACACUGAACAUAAAACUUUCAUUAUUCUUUUUUCUUUUCUUCUUUUCUUCUUUUUUUUCAUUUGCACGCCAUAUAAAUUGGACCACAUACAUCCACAUUCCACUAUUCUUCUUUCUUUUCCCUUUAUAUCAUUUAUUUAUAUUUAUAUUUAUA